rnacentral:misc_RNA from 1 species
UUUCCGUAGGUGAACCUGCGGAAGGAUCAUUGUCGAAAGCUUGCACAGUGUUGGUGGACGUGUGAACUUGUCGAAACAUUUAUAGGGGGUGCACGGGGAGCUGCUUUGUCUCCCCCCUCCCCAUGGUCGAUGGGUAUGUGGUCCAGAGGCCAUGUGUACCUCGGUCCAACUCUCAAACCGGCACUCGACGUGCCAAGGAAACUCAAUUUCAAAUGCUAACCCCCGGCCCUCGUACGAUGCGUGCAUGGGAUUCGAGGAGGAGACGUGUGAAAAAGAAUAGUGUGAUAGAAUGACUCUCGGCAAUGGAUAUCUCGGCUCUCGUAUCGAUGAAGAACGCAGCGAAAUGCGAUACUUGGUGUGAAUUGCAGAAUCUCGUGAGCCAUUGAGUUUUUGAAUGCAAGUUGCGCCCGAAGCCAUUUUUUUGGUCGAGGGCACGCCUGCCUGGGUGUCGUGCAUGUAGUUUUCCUGGGACCUCCUCCUUCGUGACACCCAUUGCCUGGUUGAUUUUCACUGGGGGUGAGGGAUCUCUGGUGUAUGUUGGCCUCCCGUCCCCCGUUGUGCGGUUGGUUUAAAUUCGGGCUCCUUGGUGGCAUGCAUCGUUGAUGAGUUGUCAUAAACAACGUUUGUCCUAUGUCGGCAAGUGAGCCAUCGCGGUCCCAUGGCUUCCUUGACACGUGUACGGAGCUGCCAUUUCGACCCC